UACGGAGGGGGGCUAGCGUUGUUCGGAAUCACUGGGCGUAAAGCGCACGUAGGCGGAUUGCUAAGUCAGGGGUGAAAUCCUGGAGCUCAACUCCAGAACUGCCUUUGAUACUGGCGAUCUUGAGUUCCGGGAGAGGUGAGUGGAACUGCGAGUGUAGAGGUGAAAUUCGUAGAUAUUCGCAAGAACACCAGUGGCGAAGGCGGCUCACUG
rnacentral:rRNA from 1 species